rnacentral:rRNA from 1 species
CCUACGGGAGGCAGCAGUGGGGAAUCUUGGACAAUGGGGGAAACCCUGAUCCAGCGAUGCCGCGUGAGUGAUGAAGGCCUUCGGGUUGUAAAACUCUUUUACCCGGGAAGAUAAUGACUGUACCGGGAGAAUAAGCUCCGGCUAACUUCGUGCCAGCAGCCGCGGUAAUA